AUUCCAGCUUAUUUCAUAAUUAGUAGAAACAAACAUUUGUUUCCAAUGUGAAAUUCAUUUUCAUGAUAUUCACAUUGCAGAUUAAUAUUCCAACUAAGAUUUGUUUAGAACAGCGUAUCACGGAAUACUGUAACUGCUACUCGCCAUCAUUUGUUGGAUUAUGAACGUCCAGAUUCUGUUUUUGACUGCUUCCGUUGGUUAUAUUUGUGGAUGUCCUCUGGGUUACUUUGGUCAGAAUUGUGAACACGCAUGUCGACAUCCCAGUUAUGGUAAAGACUGCCAGAGUCUAUGUAUAUGUGCACCGGAGAUCUGUAAUCACUCCACCGGAUGUCCUGGAUAAGAUGACGAUAACGAACAGUGAUCAAUCUCAUAACUCCCAUAAGGAAUACAAACUAGAGAGUUGGGCAAACACGGGCCCCCGGAUAUACCAGAGAUGGAAUCAAGUGCCCAGGAGGAGUAAACAUCUCAUGUCGACCGGUCACACCCGCCGUGAGCCCUAUAUCCUGAUCAGAUGGCACUGUAACAAAGGAGUUCAAUUACCAACAUAGCACCUUUCCCACAAUCAAUGACACUACGUUGUCAAAGAAGAAAUUAGAAAUCCUUUACAUUUCCCCUGAUUUGGUAAUUGCAAAUCAGAAAGACUUCAGCAGUGGAUCAUCACUGUGGACACCAUUAAAUACCACACACAGAGUAAUGUUUGUCAGCGUGGUCAUUAUAUCAGCAGUUCUUCUGAUUCUUACUGGGAUUUACAUCAGAAUAAAGAUACAAGAACACAUGUGCUUUUAUCAGUUUAACCUUGUGGAAUUUCGUUCACAAAACAGAAACGCUUCUUUUGGCAAUUCAUCUGUUUAAUCAUCAACGCAAAGAUAAAGCAAAUAGUUUAUAAUCCUUUAUUCAAACAUAUACGUAAAUGAGAGAGACCGCCGAUUCUCUGUGGCGGGAGCGUAUGUUCCUAGUUUAGCAGUACCCUCACCGGGAUGCAUACAAGCAGAGCGAAAACUUACAGCAAUAUUUAUUUGUACAACGAUUGUUGACAUGUCGACGAAAAGUUAAAGAUAACGAACAGUGUCGAUCUAAUAAGUUUUCAAGCACUAUGGCGUCUAUAACGUUCUUGAUUAACGGAGGAAUUACCGGAAUGGGGAAAUACCAAUGAUGGAAAUUUCAUGGAAUGUAAUAACAGGCCUUUUGAUUGAUCUAUUUUGUAUAUGACUUAUCAAGCCUAACUUAUAGCAUGCAUGCCGAAAGAGCUGUUUAUGAGUACUGUAGAUCGUUAGAACAUGUAAUGUUGUACAUUGUAUAUUAUUUUUAAAGUACAUUAAGUAUUUUGAAUGUAAUGAUUGUCUGCAUUUUGCAACCAUAUUAGAAACUUUAACUACCUGUCGAAUAAUUAGGAUGAUAUUGUUUGGAGAUAAAACUAGUAUACAAGAUAAGAAAUCUGAAAAGCAUCGAUGUACGUAAAUUUUACAUGGCAAAAUACAGAAUUAGGUUUAAAAAACUAGGCAUGAUUUACAAUUUAAAUGCAAGUGUUAAAUUAUUCGGGUGUCGUGUAUAAACGGUUUUAACAAAUUGUCAUGACUAAGAUAAAUAUUAAUUAUGCAAACUUCAUAUUCAGUUUUCAUAAAUUAAUAAUUUUCAUGACUUGAUUAAAAAUAUUUGUUGAUCUAUUUAGAGUAUACGAGGAAGGAAAAGAAAGUGGGCUAUAUUUCAUAACAAAUAGCUCUUUAGGUUUUUCUGUGUGUCAGAAAUAAAAAAAAAGCGAAAAUAAAACCCAACAAAGUA